rnacentral:rRNA from 1 species
UGGGGAAUUUUGGACAAUGGGCGCAAGCCUGAUCCAGCCAUGCCGCGUGCGGGAAGAAGGCCUUCGGGUUGUAAACCGCUUUUGUCGGGGAAGAAAUCUCUCGGGCUAAUACCUCGGGGGGAUGACGGUACCCGAAGAAUAAGCACCGGCUAACUACGUGCCAGCAGCCGCGGUAAUACGUAGGGUGCGAGCGUUAAUCGGAAUUACUGGGCGUAAAGCGUGCGCAGGCGGUCGUGCAAGACAGAUGUGAAAUCCCCGGGCUCAACCUGGGGACUGCAUUUGUGACUGCACGGCUGGAGUACGGCAGAGGGGGAUGGAAUUCCGCGUGUAGCAGUGAAAUGCGUAGAUAUGCGGAGGAACACCGAUGGCGAAGGCAGUCCCCUGGGCCUGUACUGACGCUCAUGCACGAAAGCGUGGGGAGCAAACA